GAUGAACGCUGGCGGCGUGCCUAAUACAUGCAAGUCGAGCGAAGCGUGGACGUGUGAGUAACACGUGGAUAACCUCCUAUAAGACUGAGAAAACUUCGGGAACCCGGAGUUAAACCCGAUACCUCUCUAUGGAUCCCCGCUGCAUUAGCUAGUUGGUAAGGUACCGACUUACCAAGGCAACGAUGCAUAGCCGACCUGAGAGGAGGAGCGGCGACACUGGAACGGAGACACGGUCCAGACUCGUACGAGAGGCAGCAGUAGGGAAUCUUCCGCAAUGGGCGCAAGCCUGACGAAGCAACGCCGCGUAGGACGUGGAGGUCUUCGGACCGUAAAACGCUGUUAUGAGGGAAGCGGUGCCUGAUCAGAAAGCCAAUGCUGACUACGUGCCAGCAGCCGCGGUAAUAC
rnacentral:rRNA from 1 species